rnacentral:rRNA from 1 species
AGAGUUUGAUCAUGGCUCAGGAUGAACGCUAGCGGUGCGCCUAACACAUGCAAGUCGAGCGAGAAGAUGGAGUAGCUUGCUACAAAGUUGGAAAGCGGCGAACGGGUGAGUAACACGUUGGUAUCUGCCCUCUGGUCAGGGAUAGCCAUCCGAAAGGAUGAUUAAUACCGGAUAGUCUCGAAAGAGUAAAGAUUUAUUGCCAGAGGAGGAACCUGCGGCCUAUCAGCUAGUUGGUGAGGUAGAAGCUCACCAAGGCUAUGACGGGUAGUUGAUCUGAGAGGAUGAUCAGCCACAAUGGAACUGAGACACGGUCCAUACUCCUACGGGAGGCAGCAGUGAGGAAUCUUCCACAAUGGGGGCAACCCUGAUGGAGCGACACCGCGUGAAGGAUGAAGGUCUAACGAUUGUAAACUUCUUUUCUGAGGGAGCAUAAUGAGAGUACUUCAGGAAUAAGGGACGGCUAAAUACGUGCCAGCAGCCGCGGUAAUACGUAUGUCUCGAGCGUUAUCCGGAAUUACUGGGUGUAAAGGGUUUGUAGGUUGUUUGUUAAGUAGGGUAUGAAAGACCGGAGCUCAACUCCGUGUUUGUAUUCUAAACUGGCUAACUAGAGUUAGGGAGAGGUAAGCGGAAUUUUAAGUGUAGGGGUGCAAUCCGUAGAUACUUAGAAGAACACCAAAAGCGAAGGCAGCUUACUGGAACUAUACUGACGCUGAAGAACGAAAGCGUGGGGAGCGAAAAGGAUUAGAUACCCUUGUAGUCCACGCCCUAAACGAUGAUAACUUAGUGUUGGGGGUAACCUCAGUGCUGAAGCUAACGCGUUAAGUUAUCCACCUGAGGAGUACGGUCGCAAGAUUAAAACUCAAAGGAAUAGACGGGACCCACACAAGCAGUGGAUC